GACGAACGCUGGCGGCGUGCCUAAUACAUGCAAGUUGAGCGCUGAAGGUUGGUACUUGUACCAACUGGAUGAGCAGCGAACGGGUGAGUAACGCGUGGGGAAUCUGCCUUUGAGCGGGGGACAACAUUUGGAAACGAAUGCUAAUACCGCAUAAAAACUUUAAACACAAGUUUUAAGUUUGAAAGAUGCAAUUGCAUCACUCAAAGAUGAUCCCGCGUUGUAUUAGCUAGUUGGUGAGGUAAAGGCUCACCAAGGCGAUGAUACAUAGCCGACCUGAGAGGGUGAUCGGCCACAUUGGGACUGAGACACGGCCCAAACUCCUACGGGAGGCAGCAGUAGGGAAUCUUCGGAAAUGGACGAAAGUCUGACCGCGCAACGCCGCGGGAGGGAAGAAGGUUGUCGGAUCGUAAAACUCUGUUGGUAGAGAAGAACGUUGGUGAGAGUGGAAAGCUCAUCAAGUGACGGUAACUACCCAGAAAGGGACGGCUAACUACGUG
rnacentral:rRNA from 1 species